GACGAACGCUGGCGGCGUGCCUAAUACAUGCCAGUUGAGCGCUGAAGGUUGGUACUUGUACCAACUGGAUGAGCAGCGAACGGGUGAGUAACGCGUGGGGAAUCUGCCUUUGAGCGGGGGACAACAUUUGGAAACGAAUGCUAAUACCGCAUAAAAACUUUAAACACAAGUUUUAAGUUUGAAAGAUGCAAUUGCAUCACUCAAAGAUGAUCCCGCGUUGUAUUAGCUAGUUGGUGAGGUAAAGGCUCACCAAGGCGAUGAUACAUAGCCGACCUGAGAGGGUGAUCGGCCACAUUGGGACUGAGACACGGCCCAAACUCCUACGGGAGGCAGCAGUAGGGAAUCUUCGGCAAUGGACGAAAGUCUGACCGAGCAACGCCGCGUGAGUGAAGAAGGUUUUCGGAUCGUAAAACUCUGUUGGUAGAGAAGAACGUUGGUGAGAGUGGAAAACUCAACAAGUGACGGUAACUACCCAGAAAGGGACGGCUAACUACGUG
rnacentral:rRNA from 1 species